rnacentral:rRNA from 1 species
CCUACGGGUGGCAGCAGUGAGGAAUAUUGGUCAAUGGACGCAAGUCUGAACCAGCAAUGCCGCGUGAAGGAAGACGGCUCUAUGAGUUGUAAACUGCUUUUGUACGGGGGUAAACGCAGAUACGUGUAUAUGUAUGAGAGUAGCGUACGAAUAAGGAUCGGCUAACUGCGUGCCAGCAGCCGCGGUAAUACGGAGGAUUCAAGCGUUAUCCGGAUUUAGUGGGUUUAAAGGGUGCGUAGGAGGGCGGAUAAGUUAGAGGUGAAAUCCCGAGGCUCAACUUCGGAAUUGCCUCUGAUACUGUUCGGCUAGAGAGUAGGUGCGGUAGGCGGAAUGUAUGGUGUAGCGGUGAAAUGCUUAGAGAUCAUACAGAACACCGAUUGCGAAGGCAGCUUACCAAGCUACUUCUGACGUUGAGGCACGAAAGCGUGGGGAGCAAACAGGAUUAGAUACCCUAGUAGUC